rnacentral:lncRNA from 1 species
CACUUGUGAGCUUUAUGAGUCUUCUCAACAAAGCACUCUGUAAAUGCCAGGUGCUGCGUGCCCUUGAGCACUGGUGGGUCGAUGUGUAUUCACUAGGGGCCAAGUUUUUCCUGCAGCAGGCUCAAGCUGAGGGCUGGGACUCCUCCCUUGGCCACAGCCAGGAGCAGCAUUCACAGCCAUUCCUGCUGCAGGGAGCUGGGCAGGGUCUGUUGAGUUGUUCCUCCACCAAGGACCUAAGACAAGCCAGCUGUGCUCCAAGUCCUAGGGCUUUUUUGUGACCCAAGGCAGACCUGACCUCUGCCCUCAAGAAAAAGAAGCUUAAUGAUGACACAUUUACCCUAGGGGUGGUAGCUAUGAAGAAAAAGUUAGGAGAUGGACAGAGGAUGUCAGCCUCGAACAGGAUGGUCACAGAAGGCCUUUAAGAGAAGGAGAUCUGAGAUCAGACCUGCAUCAUGACAAGAAGCCAACUCAGCAAAGAGCUGAAAAAACACAUUCUGGAACAUUCUUUUCUCCCCUCUGCUGAGGUAUCAACAAUGACAUCCAAAGACCAACUGCAUAAAGGGGUUUAAAAUGGUUUGUGAACUCUUAAAAAAAUAUUGUUUUUGAA